rnacentral:rRNA from 1 species
UGAGGAAUAUUGGACAAUGGGCGCAAGCCUGAUCCAGCAAUGCCGCGUGCAGGAUGAAGGCCUUCGGGUUGUAAACUGCUUUUGUACGGAGCGAAAAGGUCUGCCCUAAUACGGUGGGCUCAUGACGGUACCGUAAGAAUAAGCACCGGCUAACUACGUGCCAGCAGCCGCGGUAAUACGUAGGGUGCGAGCGUUAAUCGGAAUUACUGGGCGUAAGGCGUGCGCAGGCGGUUAUAUAAGACAGAUGUGAAAUCCCCGGGCUCAACCUGGGACCUGCAUUUGUGACUGUAUAGCUAGAGUACGGUAGAGGGGGAUGGAAUUCCGCGUGUAGCAGUGAAAUGCGUAGAUAUGCGGAGGAACACCGAUGGCGAAGGCAAUCCCCUGGACCUGUACUGACGCUCAUGCACGAAAGCGUGGGGAGCAAACA